rnacentral:rRNA from 1 species
CCUACGGGUUGCAGCAGUGGGGAAUAUUGCACAAUGGGCGCAAGCCUGAUGCAGCCACGCCGCGUGUAUGAAGAAGGCCUUCGGGUUGUAAAGUACUUUCAGCGAGGAGGAAGGCAUCAAGGUUAAUAACCUUGGUGAUUGACGUUACCUACAGAAGAAGCACCGGCUAACUCCGUGCCAGCAGCCGCGGUAAUACGGAGGGUGCAAGCGUUAAUCGGAAUUACUGGGCGUAAAGCGCACGCAGGCGGUUGAUUAAGUUAGAUGUGAAAUCCCCGGGCUUAACCUGGGAAUGGCAUCUAAGACUGGUCAGCUAGAGUCUUGUAGAGGGGGGUAGAAUUCCAUGUGUAGCGGUGAAAUGCGUAGAGAUGUGGAGGAAUACCGGUGGCGAAGGCGGCCCCCUGGACAAAGACUGACGCUCAGGUGCGAAAGCGUGGGGAGCAAACAGGAUUAGAUACCCGCGUAGUC